rnacentral:pre_miRNA from 1 species
UUAACUCAUAUUUGUAUGGAAUGGGAUCGUUUGCGUACGUUUGCCGCUAGGGGCGCUGUUUCAACUGCAUACAAAAUUGAGUAA